GACGAACGCUGGCGGCGUGCCUAAAACAUGCAAGUCGAACGAGAUAGCAAUAUCUAGUGGCGAACGGCGGAGUAAUACAUAAGCAACGUGCCCCGAAGACUGGGAUAGCGGACCGAAAGGUCCAGUAAUACUGGAUGUGGCCCACUUAGGACAUCUUAGGUGGAUUAAAUGGUUUUUCGCUUCGGGAGCGGCUUAUGACCUAUCAGCUUGUUGGCGAGGUAACGGCUCACCAAGGCUACGACGGGUAGGGGGUCUGAGAGGAUGAUCCCCCCGACGU
rnacentral:rRNA from 1 species